UAUUUAGCAGCAAAGGUCACGGGUCAGUGCGUAAUAGUGCGUUUACACACGCUUUCAACGGUGUUGUUGUUUUUGUUGAUCCUUUCAUCUAGCUACGGCAGCUACUGCAAGUAAUUAACAGGUAAGCGUGUGAUGCCUAUACUUUGAACCAUGCCAAGCAGAAGAAUAAGUGUCAUACAGAAGUCGUCGACGUCUAGUGGCAGCAGCAGCAGCAGGACAACUGUCAUCAGAUCAUCAUCCUCUCGAGUGACCACCCUGGUCUCAUCAAGUAGGACACUGAACAGCCCCAUUGGGACAAGGGCACUCAGCACGCCAGUGAGAAGUCGGCUGUCACCAGGGUCCCCACUGACUCCAGGAUGGGUGUCAGGCAGUCUUGCUGUUUUUGAAUCACCUAAGUCGGCAUCACCAUCGCCUAAAAGACCACGAACACGCAGGUCAUCAGUGUACACCAAGAAAACAGUAGUGUCCAAGAUUCCUCAGAGGUCAGCCUCCAAGGCUGUAAAGAGAAGCAAUGUCUUCAAGAUGCCCACCGUCUUCUCCCCACCUGGGGUCAAGACACGAAGCAGGCGGUCCUCCAUGUUUGGUGGACCAGCUAAAAAGUCCCCCUUGCAGUCUGCUGCUCUGUCAGUCCGUGAGAUGGUGGAGAUUGUUAGAUCUACCUCGAUGGAAGAAGAAGAAACUGAAUCACCACCCCCCAAACGGAGGAUUCUGAAAGCACAGAGGGCUUCAUUGUUGAAGAAGCAAACAUCUACAACAACUAAGAGCAGGUCCUCAAAGAUAUCAUUAGACUCUAAAAAGGAUGUUUCACUUUUGUCUUCUCGUUCUAGCCGUGCUAAAAGAUCCAGCAGAAAGUCUCUCUCACCCAAUAAAUCUCCAUCAAGAUCUGAGAGGAGGCAAAGUAAAUCACCCGCCCUUGAAGCUAAGACAACACCGAAGAGAAGUCAAAGUGAUUCUCCAAAACAAUCGGCAAGAUCUACCAAAAAACGUUCGAGGGUUAAACAAGCAGCAGGAGAUGACUUGGAAGUUUCUUUUAAGGUUGUGACACCUAUCACACCACCUGCCCAAAAACGGAGGCGUGUGGUGGUUAGUUCCUCAAAAAAAUCAGGAAGUAAAUCAAACUCCAAAUCCCGACAAAGUCCCAAGAAAAGGCUGUCAGUUUCAGCAUCACCGCUGAAAAAAUCUUCAGCAUCAAAGGGGUCAACAUCCAGUACUCUACUGGUACAUAUGGAUGGGUUGAAAAGCUCUGGGUCCCCAGAUUUGUCUCCAGUUUCAAGCAGCAAGAAAUCUAUUAAGAAAAGUGCACCUUCCAAUCCAUCCACACCACGUCGACUUGAAGUAAGUCUUGGUGACUUGAGCAGUUCCCAGUUAUUGGCUGCAUCGACAGCAAGAUCUAAAUCCAGUAGCAAGAAAGCAGAUGCAUCUGCGUCGGCAUCCAAAAGAUCUCCAAAAUCAACUUCAAAGAGCAAGUCAAAGAAGAAGAGCACAACCAGAUCAUCAAGUUCAGCAAAGUCAUCCAGAUCACACUCAAGGAAAUUUGAAGAGUACAAGAGUGACUCCGAUAGAUCAGAUAUAUCUAUCACAAGUGUGGCAUCAACUGAAGAAGAAACACCUGGUACAACCCCAAGAAAAACUUCAGCUAAAUCUAGAUCAAGAGGCAGAUCGCGUUCACCAAGGAAAGUAACUCCUAAGUCAAGUAGGAAAUCAUCAAAGUCAUCUAGCCGAUCCACUCCGGUUAAAUCUCAACAGACACCUUCAACCUCAAAAUCUAGUUUCAAGAAGAAAUCAUCCACAAAGAGAUCUGCCAGGUCUUCCUCCGGAUCACAGAAGAGAACCCAUGUGAAUUCUUCAAAAGCCAGAAAAUCUCUUGAAGUCGCAAGUUCAUCUUUCUUGUCCACAGAAAUUAAAACAGACUCUUCAUCUGGCCCAAGAACACCCAAGUCUGUAAAAAGAAAAUCUCUGUCCCGAUCUUCUCUUAGUUCAGCUAAGAGAUCAUCCACCGGUUCUAGACGGCAAUCAUCAUCUUCAGUUAAAUCUGGACAGAAGAGGAGAUCUGUUGCAUCACCCUUGACCCCUAACAUCAAACUGACCACAAUCUCAUUGACCUCACAGACCAGCAGCAAAGCUUCACCGCGAAAAAAGCUCCAGAAUACAUCCAGGUCUUCUUUGGAAGAGACAUCCUCAAAAACAAGAUCAGUUGGAACACCACAAUCAUUUACAGGUUUAAAAUCUGGGAGUGGCUCUGCAAAGAAAUCUAUUGAAUCUGUAACGUCAACAUAUAGAUCCACUGAAGGCUUUUCCCCUGUGGCAUUAAAGUCUGGUCAGAAACGCAAGACUGCUCUUACCCCCUUUUAUGAAAGCCUUACUGCCAAGAAACGGCGUUUUAAUGACAGUACUGACUUGGUCGACAGUCCACUGGUUUCAAGCACACCUGUAGGAAGACUGUCAUCUAACUCUAGUCUCAGGUCUUCCUUUGGAAGUGCUGUCCGCUCAAGCAGGCAGAACAUGUCAAGAACAUUGUACAAGUCCUCAAGCACUAGGGGUGGAUAUGGAAAUGAGAACAGCAUCUUGGAUGGAUCCUACACAUCAAGUAAGUAUAGCUACUCCGGGAAUAGAGAGGAUGAUGAAGAGGAGAAUGAUGAUGACGAUGACAUGGUUGGAGAAGAGUACAGCACUAGGUACAUGUCGUCAAGUGGGGACAUGGAGAUCACCACUACCAAGUCCAGGUCGUGGUGCUCUGUCAUGUGAAUCUUGUCAUCUCGCUAUGCACAGAGGGCUGCAGAUCACCAAGCAGUUCCCCACGGGAUACAACACUUGUCUUGGUGUUUGGAACUCAGUUACAUUUACCUGUAGAAUAGGUUCUGCUAUUAUGUUCCCUCAAUGGUGUUGUUGUUUAUCCAUUUGACCAUGUUCACUUCUUUAGGUGGCCUUUAGAAGUAGUAUGAUGGACAAGGGAGAUAGUUCUGUGGAUAUAUUACAAUGAAUGCAAUGUUUAGGUGAAGAUACUAACACUGUUACCUUGCUUGAUAAUGUUGUUAGUAUCUACAUUGAAAUGUUGCAUUCAGGUGACCAUGUUAGUUUAACAUAUUCUUCUUCUGUUGACAUGUAAAUAUUGGUAGGAACCACAUGGUGAUGGUGUAUUGAAGUAUAGCCUUUGUUUAGCUUGGAAAGUAAUCCAGAAUUCAGUGUAUGAGAGCAGGGCCAGUACCCCAAUGUCUGGACUGCAGCCUGUGUUUGUGCCAGGCAGUACUCCAGCCAGAGGCCUACGGCAUGUGUCGGUCCAUCUCUGGAUAUCAUUGUAGUAGAUCCUAAUGUACUCAACAGGUUGCCUAGUACUGGUGAUGCUCUCUGAAUAACCCAAUGUAAACAUAGCUGUAGCUACAUGCAUAUAUACAGACAGCUUUCAUGUGUAUAGAUAGCUGUCAAUGUAUGUACUGAUGGCUAUAAAUACCUUUGGCUAGUGGAAUAUUGUUCAGACUAUUAUAACAAACAUCAACUGAUCACUGGUGUUCUGACAUCAUUUAUGUCUUCAUGAAAAACUGAUUUGUGGAAAGCAAAUGACAUUUCGAAACUUUCAAAUGUUUUAUUUGCCACUUGAUGUUCUUAAGUGAAAAUUUAGCCUUUGUUGAGAUGUGAAGGCUAGUGGACUCAAAUUAUCUCACCCUUUUGCCUUGUGCGAUACUCAGGUAUACCCAGCAUAUAUUUACAGGUAGCUUGUCGUACACGCAUGUAGUCACCAUACUGUAAUAGAGUUGUUCUUUUAUGCCUAUGCCUACUAUCUUGUACUUUUUGUGUCUCUUUUUCAUUUUGAGUCUGUUAAACAGACUUUAAACAGUAUAUGUCUAACCACAUAUUUAUUAGAUGAGCGACUUGUAUAUCUAAUAUAUUUCAUGGCACUUGUUUCAGGUCCAGAUUUUGUCAGUGUUAUUCAUAAUUCAUCUUUAUUAUAUAUUAGACUCUUUAAACAUUCAUCAUUUCAUAAGAAGUUGUAUGCUUUAGAAAUUUGUAAAGACAUUCACUUUAUUUUUGUAAUGAAUUUCCAGAAAAAUGGCAUUACCAGGCUGUACUUGGAUGUUAGCAUGAAUUGACUUGAAAUUGAUUGUAACUGGUCAGCAUGUACCACUAGGGUUUGUUUGUCAUCGGUCAUGUUCCAUGACAGCUUUGCCAACUGACGGGUACCAGGUAGUUCUUAAGGAGGGAGUUGCUUGGUCUAUCUAAAUGCAUGGCCAGUUGCUGGGUAAUAUUUUUAACAGGCAUCAUUAAGGUGAUUUUAUGAAAAGAAGUGAUAUUUUUGAAAAUUAUGAUAAAUCAUUUGUAUGAUAUACUGUAAAUCUUGAAAUUAACGUGAGCGUGAAUUACAUGUAAAAAAUGCAAGUGGUCUUUGCUCGCAUUAAUUAACUUCGCAUUCAUUUCUCCAAAAUGACUAUCAACAAUAAGACUGCACACUUUGGAUAGCGGAAAUACCAACUUGAAUAUAAACACAAACACGGUUUAUUGAGCAGUUGUCACAAGUAUAUAACAAUGUCACUCAAAGUAUAAGAAUUACACAAUGGGCAUCCUGGGAGUUAUCACUGCUGGGGUCCAGAGUUCUACCCACUUGUGUCAAGCUAGUUGUCACCUUCUCCGCAUAACAAUAAGUGAACUGUUGUUGGUUCAAUUAUUUUAUUGCCUUUGAACGUCCUUAAUGCCAGUCCACAGACUAAACAUAUAAACUGUGUGCUGCUUUUAGGAAAAGACUGUUUAUUGUUUUUAUGGAAGUGCUCCACUCAGUGCUAAUAAGCGGUGCUAUUUACUGUUUGAUUGGAUUAAGAUGGUGUUGAAUUAAGGUAAGGAUAUGCAUCAUUCCACUGUGGAUGGGGUGGGGGAGUCACAUUGAUAUUGAGUCACAUUUUUGGCUAGGGGUCAGCAGUCAUAUUAAUUUGGAGAUGCAUUAAUGUCCAGAUUUACAGUAGCUUGGGAUGUGGAUGGCCCAGUUGUGUAAGGUGUGAAGCAAUUCGCUUUACUUAACAACUUCUCCACAGAAACAGUCAAGGUUGCAUGAACAGUUUUUGUAGAAAACACACAGGUUUUGUAACCAAGAGAUUACACAUAGACCAAGCAGUGAGCUCCAGGGUGGAUUUUAUAUUUGUCUUUAGUUGUGAAACUCUCCAAAUUUUCUAUGUAGGAAUAUUGGCAAAAAUGUCACUGACCGUUUCCUGAAUUGUUAAUGAAUGAAAGUCCCCUGUACUGCAGCUCCUGUAGCUUGCUGUGAGACAGGUUGUUAUGUAGAUAAUACUAGUUGUGUAGCUCCUGUUGUCUGUCUAUGUAUCUCCGUCUACUCUCGUAGGUAUUAGUGUAGUCAACUGGUUUGUUGGGGAUUGGGGGUUUGUUAUGGCUGAGUUUGUUGUGUGAUGAAAAGAGGUUUGAAGAUAAGCUCUUCAAAAGGCAGCUUGUGGAUAAUCACCUUAGGUAGUCCGUGACUGACAUGUGUAGCAGGGGUAGACUUUACAUCCACCCUCAGCAUGGCCGCCUCGUGUUAGGCAUCCUGAGGGCUUGUAAAGUUCAACCUUUUAGGUUAUGAUUAGAUGUUAUUAAUUGGGCUUAUUCCAGGUUCCGUUUCUCUCACUGAUGUUGCAGGGCUCGAUUGAAGCCACUUGAUUUAACUUGCAGCUGGUAUUGUUGACAUGAAAACCUAGUUGCAGCAUAGGCAUAUUAAUUUAUCAAAGUUGAAACAUAGAUGCAUAAAUUUAAUAAGUAAGAUCACUGAUGACAGUGUCAUGAAUUACACACAAUACAGAUAUUAGUGAUGUAGUAUGGUUAUAAAGCUUACACAGGUAUUGAGUGACUUCAAAGCUCAAUGUUGUUUGGGCAAGUAAGGGUUUCUCCGACAAAAAAAAUAGAAUUUGUUUUAUAUGCACUUGGUGACAUAUUUAUUAGGAUGCUUUUUUUCAAAAAUAGGAUGCAGUGGUGCAUGUUUUGUGUAGCUGAAUCGAGCCCUGUAUUGUCAAUUUCACAUGUACAUAGCAUCCUUCGUAGGCGUGUUAGGACAGUUAUGAAGAUAAGGACCCAGGGUUGAUUAGCUGACAUUGCCAUCUAAGAUUUUCAAUGUUGUCAAUGAAACAGAAUAAGUUAUGAAUAUUGGUUAAUCCAGCAAAACUUCUUAGUUCGAGAAACUGCUAAUAAAAAUUACUUGUACAAUAGUAUCUGAUGAAAUGCAUGUCUCAUUUUGUAUCUUUCAAAUUAGAAAGCAUGUUGAGAUAAUUAUCUGGUAGAAAUAGCCUUCACAGUAGUUUCAUUGGAUCUUCCGUCUGAGAGCCCGGGGGUGUCAGGUAGGUGUUGCCUCUGGCUGUACUUUACAUUGUGAUUAGCAGCACAGAGCAUCAGAUGCUAUUGUUGACUUCCCCCCUGAUCAACUCAGUAGACCACAUGUUACAAUGUGUGCGUAGCAGCGUAGCUUGAUCCCCUGCUGAGAGUCUUUGUUAAACACCUCACACUUUCUUGUCUUUUGUUGAUGUGCAUACUCUGAAACAGGUUUUCCCCGAUUAAAACACUGGUUAUCAUGUAGAUUUCAACUAGGAUGUCAAUUUUGCCUGUGAUGUUGUUGAUUGCUUUUAGACAGAUUAUCAUCACAUGGGUAUUGAUAAAACAACUAAUUCUCACUAAUCUGCAAGUUUUAAAAGGAAAAGCAAAUCAAAGUUUAUAUGUUAAUAACUUAAGGCAAUUAUUGCUAUCCCCAGGUAUGUGGAUUACUGAGAUUUCAGCAUGCUUCCCAUUCACCCUUAAACACUAAAUGAACGUCUGUGUUUAUUUUGGCUAUUAGUUGAGCUCUCUUUUAAAUGUUUGUAUGAGAGAUGUUAGUGUGACGAUUUGGUUAGACAUGAACAGUUGCACAAGCAGUAGCCCCUAUUCAGGGAUAACUUUGUCUUUCAUAGAGCUCCAGAUUCAUGCAGGUUUGCGGUUCGUCAUUGGUUAUGUAUACAUAUAUAUAUAUAUUCAAAUUGCAUAAACAGUUGAAGAUAUGGAACUUGCAGUUACAGUAGAAACAGUCUCGUGUUGUCAAUGUCCUUUCAAUUUGACUCUUAGAUUAGACAUUUUCUUGCUGCAAGAUUGCCGAUGCAGCGUUAAGCAAUAAUUGAUUCUAGGAUUUGUGUUUCUUGUUUUAUGGAUCAGUGAACAUACAGAGGACAGUAAGAUGUUUCUUUUGAACCACAAGUCAUAUCUGACUGAAGGUCAGGUUACAAAGAGAGAGUUCAUUAAAAUAGGACUUCAGGAUAUUAAUUUUAUAAUACCUCUUAUUAGGCAAAUUAUCUUUUACUUACAAGAGCUUAUUACACAUCCCAUCUACAGGGGAGGAGAGCCCAGGUUAUCUAAUUUGUAAGGCAGAGUUACAUCCCUUUGGUGUACCAGAAACCUAUGAUCAUCCGUUUGAAAACAAGAUUUGCCCUGAUUAUGUUUCUAAGUUUGUCAGCACCAUGCCAGUUUGGUGGGUUCCACAAAAUUGUGACAGGUCUACCACCUUCAUCAUUGGGUCUUUCCUCUGCAGUAUUGUUCAAAGUGGCAUUAAUCCCAGCUCUAGAACAACAUUACAGCACUGACACUUCUUUACUUCUUUAGAGCAACAAUUUCACCCUUAGAGUGAGUGAGUUCAAGUUUAGCCCUUAGAACAAGAAACGUCUUGUUAUGUGUUGUAUAUGUAUCAUGUUUGUGAAGUUCAUAUCUCCUUUGUCGUCCCUCGCAUCGAUAUUGAUGAAAUAUUGCUAAAAGUGAGUUAUACCUCACUCACUCACUCACUCACUCACUCACUCACUCACUCACUCACUCUGCACAUGACCUUAGUUAGACUCAGGGAACAGGUGACUGCAUCCUUAAAGCCCCGCCAUCUUCUCUUAACAGUAAUCCUCAUCACCAUAGGUAAUGCUUGAGUAUCAUAGUCUGUUGUUAUUUAUGCAUGACACUGCCAGGAAAACGGAUUUCCCUGCCUUGUUAUCUUGUUAUUUUGAUAAUGCUUGUUCUUAACCACAUUGUUCAUUUGUGUAAUGGAGACUGAAUGUGAAAAUGAAAUUGAACAGUUGUAACCAGGCUAUACAACUUGCACAUUUUCCCUCCAGUUACUGAAAAUGGAGGUGACUAUUUGUUUUCUAGCAGUAUUUUAAGAUUCAAAUUGAAUAUGAUAUACAAUGAUCAAAUCAGUAAUUUCUUCAACUAUGAAAGGUUUUCGAACAUGUUGAAUUUGCACAUAUUUUUGUGUGAAUAUAUUGACAUUGAAUAAUACUCGACUGUUUGUUACCUAUUUUGUUGAUGUCCUCACACUGUUUUCCUUGAUGUCCCAGUAGUGCUAGAACCAGUAGAUGUGGCAGUAACUACAUCUCAUUAUGCAAUCCACUUUAACUUUCUAUGAGUUUCUGAAACAAGGUUUUUGAACAUGGUUUUAGAAGAAGAUAUAAUCUAUUUUGGUACGUUGUGUUGGCUGUCCAAUGAAAGCACUCAUCUGAAGAUUACUAAGAUGUGGGUAAAACGUUUUUACUGUUGGACUUUUACAUACGAAUAUUGCCAUACAUAUUCCCAACUUCAUGGUGUAUCGAUCAGUUUGGUUUGUUGUGAUGAGCAAUAUGCAUCUGAUCCGAGCACACUGAAGCUGAGAAUGGUGCCAGCUAACACAUGAACAUGACAUGUUGGACUCGGGGCACGUCAGUUGUCAACAGGGAUCUGUCUAACAUGUAGGCAGAAACAUGUCACAAGACAUUUACCUGAGUGUGUUGUCACAUGUUUGCAUUGUUGGAUGUCAUGCAAUAGAAUGUACAACAGCAGGUUGCCGUUGAUGUUAUACAAUGUAACAUGCUGUGUACAACAGAAGGUUGCCGUUGAUAUUAUACAAUGUAACAUGCUGUGUACAACAGAAGGUUGCUGUUGAUACUAUACAAUGUAACAUGCUGUGUACAACAGAAGGUUGCCGUUGAUAUUAUACAAUGUAACAUGCUGUGUACAACAGAAGGUUGCCUUAGAUAUUAUACAAUGUAAUAUGCUGUGUACAACAGAAGGUUGCCGUUGAUAUUAUACAAUGUAAUAUGCUGUGUACAACAGAAGGUUACCGUUGAUAUUAUACAAUGUAAUAUGCUGUGUACAACAGAAGGUUGCCGCUGAUAUUAUACAAUGUAAUAUGCAGUGUACAACAGAAGGUUAACGUUGAUAUUAUACAAUGUAACAUGCUGUGUACAACAGAAGGUUGCCGUUGAUGUUAUACAAUGUAACAUGCUGUGUACAACAGAAGGUUGCCGUUGAUGUUAUACAAUGUAACAUGCUCUGUACAACAGAGUGGUUCCAACAGGUCUUGUUAUGCAAUGGGCUGUGCUGUGUACAUCAGAAUGGUUCCCAAUCAGGUCUUGUUACAUGUUGUGUUGUAUUUUUCAGAAAACAAUUUGUUAAUGUUAUCUCUUCCUCAGUUUUUAGAUGAAGGUUUUAUUUGGUGCAGAAAGUUAAUUCCAUCCAGGAAUAAAUGUUACUCUAAGCACACAA
rnacentral:misc_RNA from 1 species